AAAAAUGGAUUCUCUGUUCCUGGCAGGACACAGAGUUGCUGCUCCUGCCUGCUGCCUGAUGGUUUUCUGGGUGCCGGCCCUGCGAUGCAUUCCUGUGUCCCGAGCAGCCGGAGAGAAAACAGACCCUGAUGCUGGAUAAUGGAUCUCCCAGCCGACCUAGUGGACCUCCUCUCUCCAGCUGGUGACCCCGCUGGAGGAAAAAUUCACACCUCGAGUCCUUGAGAAACUGCAAACACAGAGGUGUCGACCCUGGGACACACUUCACCCCUCAAUAACCCCAUGAAUAAAGACCUUGUUAAAAAUGA